AAAAGUCUGUGCAUGCAAGCAAAGAUGAUAACCCCCUCCCCCCCUUCUCUCGUCAUAAACGUCACAGUUAUCAUCACUUUGUCCUCUCUAUAUUUUAACUCCGGAAAAUAAGUAGUGGGUUGAAAGCAUUUGAAGAAGGGGGCAGCAAAAAGGAGAGAGAGAGAGAGAGAGAGAGAGAGAGAGGCCAUCUAAUUCUCCCCCAAAUCCCUCUUGCUCUGUUUUCCAUCUCGUCCGCCCCUUUUCCUUUGCAAUCCCCCGCUUUCCUAAUCCAAUCCGCCUUCCUCUCUGCUGUUCCCAAUCGUCCAAGGACCCCCGUCUUUCCUUCCUUUUGCCUCCUCCUUCCUAUCCUUUUAAGAUGGGGCGAGAGCCGGAGACGGUGCGGUCGUUUGCGUGUUGUUGACGACGGGGAGCGUCGGAGGUAGGAGGAGAGGCGCAAAGGAAGCUUCUUGCAGGCCGAUCUUUGGGAUUUCUUGAUCCGUGGCGCUCCAGAGAUCACUCUAUUCAAGCCGUAGCUGAAUUGUUGUCUGUAAUUGGCUGUACCAAGCCAACCUUGUAAGGGGAAAAUAUACAAACCCUGAUGCAGGGGCAAAGGAACACUUCUCCUAUGCCUGAGACUUUUGAAUUUGAUCGAGCAUCUAGUUCGAGUAACUCAAUCAUGGAUCAACAAAUGUUCUGGAAUAACUUUCUGCACAAUUCUGUAGAGAACCAGGACUUACCUAACAAUUCACUAUCUCCUGGAGAUGCUAAUAUUUCCUGUGGAAAUGUGCCUGGUCAAGAAAGUGCUAGCUUGAAUGUCUGGGAUCCAGUUGGUCCUAGCUCUAGCAUGCCGCCACUAAAUCAAGGCAAUCAUGAUGAAGUAAAAUUGGAAAGCAGUUGGAUGCCAUCUCCUUUAGUUAAUAGAGUAGGUGGACCAAGGAUAACAGAUGGUAGAUCUGAAUCAGUGAAUACGGUUUCUUUUGAAAACCAGAAUACUGGUCUCAACAGCAGCCAUGUCAACAAUGGAGAAGAAUUAUCACAAUUUCUUAACUUUCAUGGCCUCCCUGAUAACUCAGGCUACAGUUCAGAGCAUGUUGGUCUUAGCAGUCAGGUUCUUGAAUCGGGGCUUCAUCCGGGACUGUAUAAUCCAGGACUGAUGCAUCGUGAGCAUGUUCCCUUCAUUGGUAGCUCUUCAGGCUCUUCGAGGGCUAUUGAUUUUUUAUCCAACAAUGAAAGAGGCAGACAAGAAAUUGCACAACGCUCUUCACACAAGAGAAAGAACAUUGAAGGAACUCAUGGGGAGUGUUCAGCAAGUGGUAGUUCUAGUAACUUCAGUGAAGGUAUAAAUCAUGCGGAUGAAGAAAUAAAUGCAAGAAUCGACACAAUCACAAGAGUUUCAGUUUCAGACCAUCCUUUUGGUAGUGCAACAGGAAGUGAUGAAAGCUUUCAGAGGAGCACUCGUAUGAGAAUCAACCACACAGAUCCAGCUAAUACUUUUGCACCUAAUCUGUGGCCCCAAGAGACUAUUGCUCAUUAUAAUCUUUGGCCUGCACAUCAACCGUCAUCUCCAGCAGUUCCAUCAAAUCAGUCAUCGGAUUCUAGGUUGGUGAGUAGCAACAUGGGUGGUCUACGUAGGCAGCGUUAUGUGCGUGUGGUUCCUGGCUUGUCUUCAAAUCUGUACCCUUUGCCACAGAGUGGAACUUUCACUACAGAAGUAGGCAGUUCUUCAGGCUCUCCAGCACUUGCAGUUGAUGGACCAGCUGGUGAACUGAACUCACCAAGUGUUUCGAAUAAUAUAUCAGAGCAAGUGUUUGUUCCCCCAAGUAACACUAGGCACUUGGUUCAAGACCAAACAAACUGGGGUUUGAAUAGUGGUAACACAGUAUUAUCUGGAAGUGCACUGCCUACGUUACAGGUAGGAACAAACUUAGGCAUUCAUCAAUCACCAGCAGCAAACUGGUUGUCGCAUCAACAUCGCCGCCGCUUAUCAGAUGCUGUACGUAGGUCUUUUUCAUCAUAUUCUGAAUCUAGAGGUCGGAGCAUGAGCGUUCCCCCACGACAUAGCCAUUCUUCCGCGUCUCAAGAGGUUGGACGUCAUCCAUCUGGACCAGUUUCCAGCGGCCAUCAUCAACCAUUCAUAAGAUCAAAUAUGUUGAGCAGGCAAAACGAUGGUGCUUUGGGCAUUCCCUUGUCCAUGCGGACUCUUGCAGCUGCAAGAGAAGGGAGAAGCAGGAUAUCCGAGCUUCGUAAUGUUUUUGAUCGCAUCCGACGUGGGGAUAAUUUAAUGCUUGAGGAUGUCUUGCUAUUUGAGCAGUCAGUGUUUGCUGGGGGUGCCAACUUCCAUGACAGGUUCAGAGAUAUGCGGCUGGAUGUAGAUAAUAUGUCUUAUGAGGAACUAUUGGCACUGGGUGAGCGUAUCGGUAACGUCAACACUGGACUCAGCGAGGAGAAAAUCCUGAACUGCCUACGGCAAUGGAAGUAUGUGUCCAUUGCGUCGGAACCAUCGGAGGAAGCUGAGCCAUGCUGCAUCUGUCGGGAAGAAUACAUCGAAGGGGAGGAGCUGGGCAGACUUGAUUGCGGCCACGACUUCCACACGGCCUGCAUAAAGCAGUGGUUGGUGAUUAAAAAUUUAUGCCCCAUCUGUAAAACAACUGCUCUGAGUACCUGAAAGAGAAGGGCGGGACUCGACCUCCUGUCUUGAAUUAAGAGGAAGGAGCGAGCAUUAAAGAGGUUCUUGUCACCUACAUGGGAGGGAGUUUGGGCUCUGCUCUGUGGCAUGCACUAUUCCAUCAUGAGUAGCAUUGUGCUUUCGUUUGUUGUGUUUGGUGUUUCUUUGCUGUGGUUAGGCUGGAAAUGGAUUUUGGUAGAGGGUGGGAUCUGAGCCAAUGCAUUUCAACAGCUGAAGGUAUGACUUGGUUUGGUAUAUUGAAUCCUGGAUUCCCUGUUGACCUAUUGUUUUGUCACCAGAUCUGUUUUGCCCUUCCAUCAGUAGGAUGGUUCGUUGGGGUGGCAGCUCUCUUUUCUCGAAAGAUACUUAGUGCAUGAUAGUUCUUUCAUUGCAAUGCGGGGUCUUGGGGGGAUCAAUAUUAUUCCUAAAUAUAGACUUUUGUAAGUCGAAUUUUUCGAAGAAUCAUUUGUCUAUUUUUUGUGGGCUUGAAAGUUGUUGGAGAGGAGUUUUUGAGCAUCCUAGUAUUUUUGGAUUCUCUUCCUAGGAUCGUUUUUAUCCCAAUGCAUGAAGGAAAGGGGUUGAGAGUUUUUUGUUUUAUUUUCUCUCUGUGGGUGUGGGAUGCUCGCGGAGCUGAUUAAGGUUUCGAUUUUAUCUAUCUUUGUGGUUUAUCAUUGAAAAAAAGAAAUUAUUUUCAA